CCGGGCAGUCCAGACCGAGGAGUUGGCACCAGGCGUGGACGCUAGGCGAAUUUGUGACUAAAGGAAAACCACCAACAACUGUUGAAAUUGUAAACCCCCAAUAACUCCAUUUUUCCAUAGUCUUCUUCAUCAAUUGAAUCAACCACAUUGCAUGUUUAUUUUCUUUCUUUGCAUUCACAACAAUUAUUUUUCUCUACAAGUCUUACGAUUUUGAUUAACACCAAC
rnacentral:lncRNA from 1 species